UUGCAUAUAUAUAAUUUUAUUAUCUAUUCAUUCAUUGAUGGACAAUGAUAGCCAAAGCAAAUAAAGCCGCAGUAAAUGUGGGAUGAAAAUAUGUCUAUGGGAAGGUAAGGAAUUCUCUGGAUACAAGCCCAGGGGUCAAUUAGCUGGGUCAUAUGGUGGCAUUUACACCCUGGGUGGUGUUUUUUUUUUUUUUUUUUUUUUUGUUUCACAUUUUGAUCAGCCACCUAAAAGGGUGUGAACUAUGUAAAUGAGAAUGCUCAGAUUUUCAAUUUUCCAUUCUCUUUUCUGUGAUUAUUGACCUCAUAAAAAACAAAGACAUUUAAAUUCUGUGUAUGCGUGUGCAUCUCUGUGUGGGUAUGUGCAUGUAUGGGGGUGCAGGUAUUUACAGAGGCCAGAAGGGGGUGUCAGAUUCCUUAGAGCUGGAGUUACGCUUGGUAACUGAAAGUUUCAUUUUUUAGUAAGAGUUGGAGAACAUGAAGCCUAUGCCUAACACAGCCCCUGGGUGCUCUUGGCUUUGUUGCUUCCAAAGACAAAGACCAAUAAUUUGGACAUACAGACCCUAAGAGAUUGCAAGCAAGAGCAUAUUCAUUUCUGACCCGAUAACCAAUGGGACUCCAGAGUCUGUCCUUACAAGUUGUCCUGAGACAGUUCUCAUGGAAAAUUGGCCCCCCAGAGCCCCCAGUUCAGCUCUGCAUGGUGCUGCAACGAUACCGUUGCUCUCUAGGUGUCCAUGAUGUCAGGUGCUAAAGAGUUGAAAGAGUUGGGAAAUUUCCACCCUGUUGCAGUCUUUCGUUUUACAAAUAUUUCCAUUUUGUUCAGUUCAGAAGCCACUGAGCAGCUGUAGGGAUGACAGUCCCCGAGUAGUCAGGACAUACCCUGCAGAUACUGGCUUAGAGGGAAGAAAAAGUAACUGGAAUGGUUAGCGUCCAUGGUAAGGCAUGAGGGUUGAAGGCUACUAAAAGCUUAUGUCAAUUCUGUCUAUAGAUUGAAAAAAAGAAAAAACCAGCUGAGUCCCCUUAACACUAGCCCUGUUCUUAUUCAUCAAGGAAAGGGCAGUAAAGAGGAACAUUGCAUCUCCCAGAGUGGGGCCUCCACUAAAAAUAAAAAAUAAAGGUUUACACAACAGCAUUGAUGAGGGAAACAGAGGAACUGUUUGAGGAAGGAGUGGGCAGAGCUUCUCCUAUACGAGCUUCCCAUAGUGCCUUGGGAAAGGUGCUGCGUGAUUAGACUUGAUGAUGGUGCCCCUGGUCUCGGAACCAGCAUGGUAACCGUCACCUCAUGCUGCCUGUGUGCCCACUCACUUCCUGCUCAGUUAUUUUCCAUGUUCAUCUCUUGAGUUCCCCCAGAAAAUCCUGCCGACGGGGCAAGGUUUUCGGUGGGAAUCAUGAAUGGAGUAGACGCCGUUCCUCCGAGCAGGCGCACCAGAGCUUCUAUCUCCUGAAUGAAAGUCCUCCUUUGUUACCUAGCUGCUGAUGCCGGCUCUGCGAGUUCUCAGAGGCUUCCUCUGGAGGGCCCCAAGACGUACGCAGAAUUCCCAGGGCACCCAUAGAAAAAAUCAGAAGCACAUACGGAACGCUCUUCUGGAAUCUACUAGUUUGAUUCCUAAGUGGCACAGGAAGAUGGGAGCCAGGGAAGUUGUGUGACAGGGGACAACCCAUGUCACCCACAACGGAAAAUAUGAACACCAGAAAUUUUCCUAUUCUAAACAAUGUGGGUUUAAAAUAUACUCUCUGGAGCCUCUCCUGAAUGUACAAGCACGGUGCUAUUUAUAGUGGUUGGUGUGUACUUUACCAAGAUUUUUAUUCCAACAAAGGAACUGUAUGUAAGGGAUUGACUCGCAGCACCGUUUUGGGCCUCCAGGAUGAUGAAGCCAAGAACCUCCCAGAACACUCCCAAGCACCUGAGCAAGAGUCCCCUUACUAACAUUCUGGAAUAUUCUACCAUCAUCCCUGCUCGCUUUCUCCAUCUGGCCAAAUGACAGUUACAAAUGUGGAUCUCUCAGACCUGCUGAUGAGAAUUCAUCAUCGUUCACAGGACUGAAUACUUCACUCGUGUUCCCAGCAGGAGACAACAUAUGACUCCUUUGAUCCUAUGAGUUUAGAAAGGCAAAAUCUCCAAGCUGUCUCAAGCAAAUGGGCGGCGAUUAACAUCUUUAUCUGAGAGUCUGUAGCAGUGGUCCUCAAUCUUUCUAAGGCUGUGACCCUUUAAUACAGUUCCUCGGGUUGUAGUGACCCCAACCAUAAGAUUA